rnacentral:rRNA from 1 species
CUUGGUGAUUUCAACAAAAUUAUGUAUUCGCAUGAAAAGGCUCGAGGUAACCCAAGUCCAAAUGUAAUGAUGCAAUAGUUUCGAAAUUGUUUUGGAGAGUCUGGGCUACAUGAUCUGGGAUAUAUUGGGGACUGUUUCAGUUGGAGAAGAGGGGAGAUUAGGAAGAGACGUGAUAGGCUUGUAUGUAAUAUGGAAUGGUCAAAUAUAUUCCCAAAAGCGGGCAUCAUCAACUUGGAACAUGUACAUUCUGACCAUCGGCCCUUAAUCUUUGACACAAAAUAUUUUUAUGGGGAUAUUUUUAAUAGCCCAAAAGGUCGUGUGAAGCAAUUUGAAGCUAGAUGGCUCAAAAAGGAGACUGGCGGAGAAAUUGUGCGAACAACAUGGGCGGUACAUGGUGAUUUACACACUUGGGACCGAGAGACUCUAAAAGUACCAAAGCGAAGAGUUAGUCAAAUGGUCUAA